GCUCAAGGACGUUUCUAAAGGAUGUUGGUUUCUGUUCCAUUCAUUUAAUAAUAAACUGUUUUGCUUGUGUAUUGCACAAUGAGUGUGAGCUUUUUUAUCUCCUUCGCCUUCCUGCUGAUGAUACACAAAGUGUCAAUGCAGAGUGUUCGUGUUGAAGGUGUUAUAGGACAAACAGCAGUCUUACCGUGUUCAGUCAAACAGACUCCUCAGUAUGUGCU